AUGGAGAAGCAGAUGCUAUUCAUGAUUCUCAUCGUUACAGGUGGAUUGGCAGACAAAAUUGGACCAAGAGAAGGAGAUAGUAAUAUAAUCACGAAAGAAGGAGAUUUUGUGACCCUGAGCUGCACAUGUGAUGUUAGCAGCAAUAAUGUUUGGCUUUACUGGUACAGAAAAUAUCCAAAUGGAGAACCUCAGUAUUUUCUGCUCAAAGGUGUUCGAUCAGAGAUUGGUGCUGAGGAUAAAUCAGACCAUCGGUUUCAAUCAAGUACAUCCCAGUCAUCCACUGUCCUCAUUGAGAAAGCAGUUCUGUCAGAUUCAGCUCGCUAUUACUGUGCUCUAAGAGUAGCAGCCCAAUGA